UACAGAGGUCCCGAGCGUUGUUCGGAUUUAUUGGGCGUAAAGAGCUCGUAGGCGGUUUGUCGCGUCUGCUGUGAAAACCUAAGGCUCAACCUUGGGCUUGCAGUGGGUACGGGCAGACUAGAGUGCGGUAGGGGUGACUGGAAUUCCUGGUGUAGCGGUGGAAUGCGCAGAUAUCAGGAGGAACACCGAUGGCGAAGGCAGGUCACUGGGCCGCAACUGACGCUGAGGAGCGAAAGCAUGGGGAGCGAACAGG
rnacentral:rRNA from 1 species